rnacentral:rRNA from 1 species
GACGAACGCUGGCGGCGUGCUUAACACAUGCAAGUCGAACGGAAAGGCCUCUUUCGGGGGGUACUCGAGUGGCGAACGGGUGAGUAACACGUGAGUAACCUGCCCUUGACUUUGGGAUAACUUCAGGAAACUGGGGCUAAUACCGGAUAGGAGCUCCUGCUGCAUGGUGGGGGUUGGAAAGUUUCGGCGGUUGGGGAUGGACUCGCGGCUUAUCAGCUUGUUGGUGGGGUAGUGGCUUACCAAGGCUUUGACGGGUAGCCGGCCUGAGAGGGUGACCGGCCACAUUGGGACUGAGAUACGGCCCAGACCCCUACGGGAGGCAGCAGUGGGGAAUAUUGCACAAUGGGUGGAAGCCUGAUGCAGCAACGCCGUGUGCGGGAUGACGGCCUUCGGGUUGUAAACCGCUUUCGCUCAUGACGAAGCUUUGUGUGACGGUAGUGGGCAAAGAAGCACCGGCUAACUACGUG